ensembl:snRNA U6 U6 spliceosomal RNA
UUGCUUGCUUUGGCAUCCCAUAUACUAAAAUUGGAAUGAUACAGAGAAGAUUAGCAUGGCCCCUGUGCAAGCAUGGCUUGCAAAUUUGUGAAGAGUUCUGUAUUUUU